AAAUGGUCAAAGGCCUGGAAACGAUGCCUUAUGAGGAACGGCUAAGGGAGCUGGGCAUGUUUAGCCUGGAGAAGAGGAGGUUAAGGGGUGAUAUGAUAGCCAUGUUCAAAUAUAUAAAAGGAUGUCACAUAGAGGAGGGAGAAAGGUUGUUUUCUGCUGCUCCAGAGAAGCGGACACGGAGCAAUGGAUCCAAACUACAAGAAAGAAGAUUCCACCUAAACAUUAGGAAGAACUUCCUGACAGUAAGAGCUGUUCGACAGUGGAAUUUGCUGCCAAGGAGUGUGGUGGAGUCUCCUUCUUUGGAGGUCUUUAAGCAGAGGCUUGACAACCAUAUGUCAGGAGUGCUCUGAUGGUGUUUCCUGCUUGGCAGGGGGUUGGACUCGAUGGCCCUUGUGGUCUCUUCCAACUCUAUGAUUCUAUGAUUCUAUGAUUCUAUAAUCUCUUAUCCCAAAACAUCUGGAGGGCCGAGUCUGCCUAUGCCUGGUCAUGACUGUUUCUUCAUCCAAGCCCUCACCCGCUCAGCCUGAAAUCUGAGCUCAGCAGAGACUCAUCGGGUUCGUAUCUGCAGCUGCAGACUUUGUGGCUUUAAUAAUAAUAAUAAUGACAAUAAUUUAUUAUUUAUACCCCACCCAUCUGGCAAGACCUGCCAUGUGGUAUCCACAAAAGAUCUUCAGCAGCCCCCGGGGGUCCCUACCUCUUUCUGAAAUUAGACUCAAAAUAAGCAUUUAGAUUUCUCAAACAUGGGAGCCACUUACCUGAUACUUUGGAGCAUAUUUUCUUUUCUUGUACUGCAAGAAUUCACCUUGGGGCGAAUUCUUGGCAAAACACUGAUUCUCUCUUAUUUAAUAGUGGGGGAAAUCCCAGUGAGCUCAGGAGUGCACAGAUGGGGGGCACCCCAUUUGACCCCCACAAAAAGCCUGAUGGGGACAUGAUUAUCCCAUGUAAAAUGUUUCAUCCGCCUAAUACAUUACAGUAAGCACUCAACCAAUUUUUAUUCCUGAAUCGGCCAGGGAAAAAGCAUAAGAUGGGUGGUAACCAACUCCUUUUCCCCUACUGUAGAAGGUAAUGGGACCCCUGACAGUUAAGUCCAGUCACGAACAACUCUGGGGUUGUGGCGCUCAUCUCGCUUUACAGGCUGAGGGAGCCGGCGUUUGUCCACAGACAAUGUUUUCCGGGUCAUGUGGCCAGCAUGACUGGUGAAACCAGAGCAGUGCACAGAAAUGCCAUUUACAUUCCCGCUGGAGUGGUACCUAUUUAUCAACUUGCACUGCGUGCUUUCAAAAUGCUAGGUUGGCAGGAGCUAGGACUGAACAACGGAAGCUCACCCCGUCGCGGGGCGCUCACCGCAGCACCACCCGCAUCCUUCCCCUACUGAGCAUCACCUAAAUUCAUUAUUUCCCUUCCUACAUCAAGAUUUAGGAACAAAAGAAUGUCCUCCAGAAACCUUGCCCUAAUAAUUGCACCUUUAAUAAUGUAGAGUAUAAAAAGCUAUAGUGCUUUGUAUGCACUGUACUCCCUCUUCCCUUAAGACCCCUCUCCAGAUAAAUUGCAGCUAACAAGGAUUUUUGGCACACCUCCCAUCUAGAGACACUGAAUACAUUGCUUGAAAGGCAUAAUUAUUAUAGGUUAAGUGAUACAGGGCAAGUGCUUUUCUUUAAGCGUGAAGAUAUGUCUUGCGGGGCCUGGCAGAGAUCCAAUACUCUUUCCAAGAAUCCCAGUAAUCGCCAUGGAAAAUUGACCAACGGUCUGCCUCCUCUUGUCAGAAUUGAGGGUUCCUGCCAUCAAGCCAUCUAAAUGAAAACAGUGCUACAAACGGCUAGAAAAAGCCAAGCCCCAAAGGUAAUGUUUUUAGAAGGUUUCCAUUGAAAUGAAAAAUUAACAAAUUCUAGGCACCCCUACUAAGCAGUAAGCCCCAUUGAAGACAAUGGGAUUUACAGGUUAACCUGCUUGGUUAACCUCUUGCACGGUCUGCACCAAGUGCAUUUUUGUGGUUUUUAAAAAGAGAAAUGGCUUUUGAGUAGGGUAGUGACAAUUUUUGAGUUUCAUCGUCAGUGGCAGCCUAAAGGUUCUCAGACACUCUAAAGUCACGGUGAGUGGCAAUCCCCAGGUAAGGAGGGUGUUAUGUACUGAGUUGAAUAGGAUCCAAAAUGCAGCAGUUUGAUUGGUCCUAGAACAAUAGGACCCAGAAUGCAGCAUUCUGAUUGGUCCACAGGAGCCACCCAAUCCAGCUCCAGGUGGAAGUGAAUCCGCAACCUGAUUGGCCUACAGGAGAAUCCCGGAAUUAGCCAAUCAUGUGGGGCCCACUGUGUAAAUAAUGUAUAUAAAGCAGAUAUUUUGGGGAAACUUCUAUUCCUCCUCACCACUAUGAGCUGAAUAAAGAGCAUGAAAUCCACUCUCGAUAUUUUAGAGGGGGUGCA